rnacentral:rRNA from 1 species
UACGAAGGGGGCUAGCGUUGUUCGGAUUUACUGGGCGUAAAGCGCACGUAGGCGGCUCGUUAAGUCGGGGGUGAAAUCCUGGAGCUCAACUCCAGAACUGCCUUCGAUACUGGCGAUCUUGAGUCCGGAAGAGGUGAGUGGAACUCCUAGUGUAGAGGUGGAAUUCGUAGAUAUUAGGAAGAACACCAGUGGCGAAGACAGCUCACUGGUCCGGUACUGACGCUGAGGUGCGAAAUCUUGGGGAGCAAACAGG